rnacentral:rRNA from 1 species
GACUCCUACGGGAGGCAGCAGUGGGGAAUAUUGCACAAUGGGGGAAACCCUGAUGCAGCCAUGCCGCGUGUGUGAAGAAGGCCUUCGGGUUGUAAAGCACUUUCAGUAGGGAGGAAGGUAGUGUAGUUAACACCUGCACUAUUUGACGUUUACCUACAGAAGAAGCACCGGCUAACUCCGUGCCAGCAGCCGCGGUAAUACGGAGGGUGCGAGCGUUAAUCGGAAUUACUGGGCGUAAAGCGCAUGCAGGCGGCCUGUUAAGUCAGAUGUGAAAGCCCGGGGCUUAACCUCGGAAUUGCAUUUGAAACUGGUCAGGCUAGAGUCUUGUAGAGGGGGUAGGAAUUUCAGGUGUAGCGGUGAAAUGCGUAGAGAUCUGAAGGAAUACCAGUGGCGAAGGCGGCCCCCUGGACAGAUACUGACACUCAGAUGCGAAAGCGUGGGGAGCAAACAGGAUUAGAUACCCUGGUAG